GAUUCUUAAGGAACUUGGUAAGGGGUAAGAUGGGUAUAAGCUCUCCCAAAACGAACAAUACAUAUGAAUUAAUAACUUGGGCACAUGCCCGAAUCGUUACAUUAUGCAGAUAUUUAUGUAUCGUAUUCGUUUCAUUAACUGUUGCUUUGAAAAUUGGAAUUAUGGCUUAAUCCUUAACUGUCAUAAUCUGUCCCCGUCUUAAUUCGAUAAAAUAUAUAUUUAUAUUACGUCUAACAUGGACAAAAUUAUCAUUUUCAGGGUGAUGGACAGCUCUUAUGGGAUGUGGAUGACCAAAGACAAAAAUUUAUUAAUGAGAUAGGGUUCAGCAACAACUUGUGUUCAUUUCAUUAAAAAUUUUGUCUAACUUCUUGUUCAUUUCAUUUGGUAAACACUCAAUCAUUGUCCAGAAUAUAUAUAGAAAUCUCCUUGCCGCCCAUUUAUAUAAAUUUUAUAGGUCGAACAUUUGAUAAAAUGAGUCGAUAUGACCUACAAGUGUAGGGACGCGUCAAAAAUCAAUGUCAAUUUAUCCUUUUAGGUGAAUUAGUUUAACGUUUUAUGCUGAAUGAAUCUAUUCAGGUUGUAAGGAAUUAGAAAUUGCACACGCAGAAAUGGAUGUUAUUCCCAAGUAUCAAAUAGUAAUGGAGAACAGAAGAAGGUGGCAGUCGAUGAAUAAAGAAUAUGAAGAAGCAAAAGCAGUGGACAUUUACAACCGUCCAAUGAGAUCAGAUUUUAUUUUUCCCAUCAGAUCCUUUGUUCUUGUCCAAUCCUAAAAGUAUAUGGGAGCAUAAAUUCCUGCAAAUAUGUUCCAUGGAUUGACCAAAUUAUAUUGUAAAGAUUAAUCCCUUGUUUGAACCACAUUAUUGUAAUGAAAAUGCACUAUUGAAUAAUAUAUUGAUGGAAAAUGUUUUGAAUUUGUAUGUAAUAUUAUUUUAUUAAAG
rnacentral:lncRNA from 1 species